UGGCGGCAUGCCGUACACAUGCAAGUCGAGCGGCAGCGCGGGGGCAACCCUGGCGGCGAGCGGCGAACGGGUGAGUAAUACAUCGGAACGUGUCCAGUAGCGGGGGAUAACCUGUCGAAAGAUAGGCUAAUACCGCAUACGAUCUACGGAUGAAAGCGGGGAACCGCAAGGCCUCGCACUGUUGGAGCGGCCGAUGUCGGAUUAGCUAGCUGGCGGGGUAAAAGCCCACCAAGGCGACGAUCCGUAGCUGGUCUGAGAGGACGACCAGCCACACUGGAACUGAGACACGGUCCAGACUCCUACGGGAGGCAGCAGUGGGGAAUUUUGGGCAAUGGGCGCAAGCCUGAUCCAGCAAUGCCGCGUGCAGGAUGAAGGCCUUCGGGUUGUAAACUGCUUUUGUACGGAACGAAACGGUCUGCCCUAAUACGGUGGGCUAAUGACGGUACCGUAAGAAUAAGCACCGGCUAACUACGUGCCAGCAGCCGCGGUAAUACGUAGGGUGCAAGCGUUAAUCGGAAUUACUGGGCGUAAAGCGUGCGCAGACGGUUUUGUAAGUUUGUCGUGAAAGCCCCGGGCUCAACCUGGGAAUUGCGAUGAAGACUGCAAGGCUUGAAUCUGGCAGAGGGGGGUAGAAUUCCACGUGUAGCAGUGAAAUGCGUAGAGAUGUGGAGGAACACCGAUGGCGAAGGCAGCCCCCUGGGUCAAGAUUGACGCUCAUGCACGAAAGCGUGGGGAGCA
rnacentral:rRNA from 1 species